AGAGUUUGAUCAUGGCUCAGGAUGAACGCUAGCGGCAGGCUUAACACAUGCAAGUCGAACGGUAACAUUUCUCGCUUGCGAGAAGAUGACGAGUGGCGCACGGGUGCGUAACGCGUAUACAAUCUGCCUUUAACAAAGGAAUAGCCCAUGGAAACGUGGAUUAAUACCUUAUAAUAUGUAGAGAUGGCAUCAUCAUUACAUCAAAGAUUUUUUCGGUUAAAGAGGAGUAUGCGUGACAUUAGAUAGUUGGUGAGGUAACGGCUCACCAAGUCGACGAUGUCUAGGGGUUCUGAGAGGAUGAUCCCCCACACUGGUACUGAGACACGGACCAGACUCCUACGGGAGGCAGCAGUGAGGAAUAUUGCGCAAUGGAGGAAACUCUGACGCAGCCAUGCCGCGUGAAGGAAUGAAUGCCCUAUGGGUUGUAAACUUCUUUUAUAUGGGAAGAAACCUUUCUACGUGUAGAAAGCUGACGGUACCAUACGAAUAAGGACCGGCUAACUCCGUGCCAGCAGCCGCGGUAAUACGGAGGGUUCAAGCGUUAUCCGGAUUCAUUGGGUUUAAAGGGUACGUAGGCGGAUAAAUAAGU
rnacentral:rRNA from 1 species